CCUACGGGCGGCAGCAGUGGGGAAUAUUGGACAAUGGGCGAAAGCCUGAUCCAGCCAUGCCGCGUGUGUGAAGAAGGCCUUCGGGUUGUAAAGCACUUUCAGUGGGGAAGAAAGCCUUGGGGCUAAUACCCUCGAGGAAGGACAUCACCCACAGAAGAAGCACCGGCUAACUCCGUGCCAGCAGCCGCGGUAAUACGGAGGGUGCGAGCGUUAAUCGGAAUUACUGGGCGUAAAGCGCGCGUAGGCGGUCUGAUAAGCCGGUUGUGAAAGCCCCGGGCUCAACCUGGGAACGGCAUCCGGAGUGAGGGGAGAGGGCGCGGGAGAGGAAGGGAGACCCCGGGGUGGAGGGGAGAUAUGCAGAGAGGGCGGGAAAAACAACAGUGGAGGCGGCCCUCUUGUGGACUGACACUGCCGCUGAGGUGAAAAGGGGUGAGUAACAAACAGGAUUAGACACCCUUAGUC
rnacentral:rRNA from 1 species